rnacentral:rRNA from 1 species
AGCUCCAAUAGCGUAUAUUAAAGUUGUUGCAGUUAAAAAGCUCGUAGUUGAAUUUCUGGCUAGGUAUAUGGAUCCGCUCUUAUGUGUGUACACCAUACAUGUCUUGCCAUCUUUUGGGAGAGCCACAGUUGCAUUGAGGUGUUGGUGUGGAGAUCCCAAUCCUUUACUGUGAAGAAAUUAUAGUGUUCAAAGCAGGCUUACGCCGUUGAAUAUAUUAGCAUGGAAUAAUAACAUAGGACUAUUGUACUAUUUUAUUGGUCUGCGCAUAAUAUUAAUGAUUAAUAGGAACAGUUGGGGGUAUUUGUAUUCAAUUGUCAGAGGUGAAAUUCUUGGAUUUUUGAAGACAAACUACUGCGAAAGCAUUUACCAAAGAUGUUUUCA